rnacentral:lncRNA from 1 species
GAUUUCUGAGUAAGAGGAUGGUUGGGGCAGGGUCAGGUGGGCCGCACUGGUGUGCCCAGGACCUGCGCGCUCCGAGUGGACCCGACUGCACGGGGGUGGCCUGACGCCGGCUGAGAUGCAGAAUCAGGCCUCUGAGCUACUGAGCUGGAAUCUGCCUUCUGGCCGGACCCGGUUGAUUGGAACCGCAUUCAUUUGAGGAAUGCUCCCUGCGACCAGAGCUCCACCAGGACACUCCUUCCCUCCGCCGGCCACGUUUGCUGGGAGCCCCUGAGAGGCAGCGGCAGCCCGGAUGCUGAAUCCCAUUCGCCCCGGUCAUUUCCGGAGCGUCUUCCAGCCCGUUCCCCGCCAUGACAGCGACGUGUGCUUUGAGCUCAGUCCACAGCAAAGACCACCUUGGUUCU